CGGAGGAUCCAAGCGUUUAUCCGGAUUUAUUGGGUUUAAAGGGUGCGUAGGUGGGAUGAUAAGUCAGAGGUGAAAGCUAGCAGCUUAACUGUUAAAUUGCCUUUGAUACUGUUAUUCUUGAGUGUAGUUGGCGUUGGCGGAAUGUGACAUGUAGCGGUGAAAUGCGUAGAUAUGUCACAGAACACCGAUCGCGAAGGCAGCUAACGAAGCUAUCACUGACACUGAUGCACGAAAGCGUGGGGAGCAAACAGGAUUAGAUACCCUGGUAGUCCACGCCGUAAACGAUGAUAACUCGACGUUGGCAAUAUACUGUUCAGCGUCCAAGCGAAAGCGUUAAGUUAUCCACCUGGGGGAGUACGAUCGCAAGGUUG
rnacentral:rRNA from 1 species